rnacentral:rRNA from 1 species
CAAUAGCGUAUAUUAACGUUGUUGCAGUUAAAAAGCUCGUAGUUGGAUUUCUGGAGGGAGCGUCGGCCCGUAUUUACGAGUGCGUGACGUCUCUGUCCAUCCUUGCGGGAAGGCACGGCAUUGAUUUGUUGUGUCGGAUCGCAUCAUUUACUGUGAAAAAAUUAGAGUGUUCAAAGCAGGCUUUCGCUUGAAUACAUUAGCAUGGAAUAAUAAGAUAGGACUUUGGUGCUAUUUUGUUGGUUGAGCCUAAAGUAAUGAUUAAUAGGGAUAGUUGGGGGCACCUGUAUUGCGUUGUCAGAGGUGAAAUUCUUGGAUUUACGCAAGACAAACAGCUGCGAAAGCGUCUGCCCAGGAUGUUUUCAUUAA